rnacentral:tRNA from 1 species
UCCACGUUGGUCCAGUGGUUAGGAUUGCUGAUUCUCACUCAGCCGGCCCGGGUUCGAUUCCCGGACGAGGAA